UAGACCGCCUGGGGAGUACGGCCGCAAGGUUAAAACUCAAAUGAAUUGACGGGGGCCCGCACAAGCGGUGGAGCAUGUGGUUUAAUUCGAUGCAACGCGAAGAACCUUACCUGGUCUUGACAUCCACAGAAGAAUCCAGAGAUGGAUUUGUGCCUUCGGGAACUGUGAGACAGGUGCUGCAUGGCUGUCGUCAGCUCGUGUUGUGAAAUGUUGGGUUAAGUCCCGCAACGAGCGCAACCCUUAUCCUUUGUUGCCAGCGAUUAGGUCGGGAACUCAAAGGAGACUGCCAGUGAUAAACUGGAGGAAGGUGGGGAUGACGUCAAGUCAUCAUGGCCCUUACGACCAGGGCUACACACGUGCUACAAUGGCGCAUACAAAGAGAAGCGACCUCGC
rnacentral:rRNA from 3 species